rfam:Ancylostoma duodenale strain Zhejiang A_duodenale-1.0_Cont3337.2, whole genome shotgun sequence.
CCAACGGCCCUCUUUAGGGCCACAAACUCUCCGAAUACUAAGCUGG